GAAAGGGAAUCGGGUUAAGAUUUCCCGAGUCGGGAUGUGGCGGUUGACGGUGAAGUUAGGAAGUCUGGAGACCCCGGCGGGGACCUCAAGAAGAGUUAUAUUUUUUGUUUAACGGAAUGCCAACCCUGGAAACGGUUCAACCGGAGGUAGAAUCCAGUGGCCGGAAGAGCACCGCACGUCACGCGGUGUCCGGUGCACCCCCGAUGGCCCAUGAAAAUCCGGAGGACCGACUACCAUUCACGCCAGGUCGUACUCAUAACCGCAUCAGGUCUCC
rnacentral:ncRNA from 1 species